UGUUGGUAGCAUUCAAAACAACAUAGCGAGUUAAAAUAAGGCUUAGUCCGUAAACAAACUUUGGCACUGUAUUCGGUGCUUUUUUU
rnacentral:sRNA from 1 species